GGUGACAGCCCCGUACACAAAAGCGCAUGUGCUGUGAGCUCGAUGAGUAGGGCGGGACACGUGGUAUCCUGUCUGAAUAUGGGGGGACCAUCCUCCAAGGCUAAAUACUCCUGACUGACCGAUAGUGAACCAGUACCGUGAGGGAAAGGCGAAAAGAACCCCGGCGAGGGGAGUGAAAAAGAACCUGAAACCGUGUACGUACAAGCAGUGGGAGCCCCACCACCAAAGCAUUCUCUGGUGUUGAAGGCCCUGCAAAGCAGCAUCGCGGUGGCGGAGCGUCGUUUGCGACGCCCAACACACAAAACAAGCGGUGAGUGCUUUGGGGUGGGGUGACUGCGUACCUUUUGUAUAAUGGGUCAGCGACUUAUAUUCUGUAGCAAGGUUAACCGUAUAGGGGAGCCGUAGGGAAACCGAGUCUUAACCGGGCGUUAAGUUGCAGGGUAUAGACCCGAAACCCGGUGAUCUAGCCAUGGGCAGGUUGAAGGUUGGGUAACACUAACUGGAGGACCGAACCGACUAAUGUUGAAAAAUUAGCGGAUGACUUGUGGCUGGGGGUGAAAGGCCAAUCAAACCGGGAGAUAGCUGGUUCUCCCCGAAAGCUAUUUAGGUAGCGCCUCGUGAAUUCAUCUUCGGGGGUAGAGCACUGUUUCGGCUAGGGGGUCAUCCCGACUUACCAACCCGAUGCAAACUGCGAAUACCGGAGAAUGUUAUCACGGGAGACACACGGCGGGUGCUAACGUCCGUCGUGAAGAGGGAAACAACCCAGACCGCCAGCUAAGGUCCCAAAGUCAUGGUUAAGUGGGAAACGAUGUGGGAAGGCCCAGACAGCCAGGAUGUUGGCUUAGAAGCAGCCAUCAUUUAAAGAAAGCGUAAUAGCUCACUGGUCGAGUCGGCCUGCGCGGAAGAUGUAACGGGGCUAAACCAUGCACCGAAGCUGCGGCAGCGACACUGUGUGUUGUUGGGUAGGGGAGCGUUCUGUAAGCCUGUGAAGGUGUGUCGUGAGGCAUGCUGGAGGUAUCAGAAGUGCGAAUGCUGACAUAAGUAACGAUAAAGCGGGUGAAAAGCCCGCUCGCCGGAAGACCAAGGGUUCCUGUCCAACGUUAAUCGGGGCAGGGUGAGUCGACCCCUAAGGCGAGGCCGAAAGGCGUAGUCGAUGGGAAACGGGUUAAUAUUCCCGUACUUGGUGUUACUGCGAAGGGGGGACGGAGAAGGCUAUGUUGGCCGGGCGACGGUUGUCCCGGUUUAAGCGUGUAGGUGUGUGUUCCAGGUAAAUCCGGUUCACUUUAACACUGAGGCGUGACGACGAGGCACUACGGUGCUGAAGCAACAAAUGCCCUGCUUCCAGGAAAAGCCUCUAAGCAUCAGGUAACAC
rnacentral:rRNA from 1 species